rnacentral:rRNA from 1 species
UCUAAGCAUGAAGCCCCCCUCAAGAUGAGAUUUCCCAUAGCGCAAGCUAGUAAGAUCCCUGAAAGAUGAUCAGGUUGAUAGGUCAGAGGUGGAAGCGUGGCGACAUGUGUAGCUGACUGAUACUAAUCGAUCGAGGACUUAACCAAA